UAGCGUAUAUUAAAGUUGUUGCAGUUAGAACGCUCGUAGUCGGAUUUCGGGGCGAGCCUUCCGGUCUGCCGAUGGGUAUGCACUGGUCGGCGCGUCCUUCCUUCCGGAGACCGUGCCUACUCUUAACUGAGCGGGGGCGGGAGACGGAACGUUUACUUUGAAAAAAUCAGAGUGUUUCAAGCAGGCAGCUCGCUCUUGCAUGGAUUAGCAUGGGAUAAUGAAAUAGGACUUUGGUGCUAUUUUGUUGGUUUCGAACACCGAAGUAAUGAUUAACAGGGACAGUCAGGGGCACUCGUAUUCCGCCGAGAGAGGUGAAAUUCUCAGACCAGCGGAAGACGAACCACUGCGAAAGCAUUUG
rnacentral:rRNA from 1 species